rnacentral:rRNA from 1 species
AGUGGACGCUGGCGGUAGGCCUAACACAUGCAAGUCGAACGGCAGCACAGGAGAGCUUGCUCUCCGGGUGGCGAGUGGCGGACGGGUGAGGAAUACAUCGGAAUCUACUCUGUCGUGGGGGAUAACGUAGGGAAACUUACGCUAAUACCGCAUACGACCUACGGGUGAAAGUGGGGGACCGCAAGGCCUCACGCGAUUGAAUGAGCCGAUGUCGGAUUAGCUAGUUGGCGGGGUAAAGGCCCACCAAGGCGACGAUCCGUAGCUGGUCUGAGAGGAUGAUCAGCCACACUGGAACUGAGACACGGUCCAGACUCCUACGGGAGGCAGCAGUGGGGAAUAUUGGACAAUGGGCGCAAGCCUGAUCCAGCCAUACCGCGUGAGUGAAGAAGGCCCUCGGGUUGUAAAGCUCUUUUGUUGGGAAAGAAAUCCUGUUGGUUAAUACCUGGCAGGGAUGACGGUACCCAAAGAAUAAGCACCGGCUAACUUCGUGCCAGCCGCCGCAGUAACAC